GUAAAUAGAAGUUUGUUUUGAUUAAUGUAACCUCAAAUUGACUUGCGCAUGUCAUUUAAGCAAGGAGUCAGCUAGGAUAUAUGCGCUAGUUCAACCAGCUGAUUCUUUUCGCAGCGCCCCCAUAUUGUUAUAUUUGUAAUUGUAGUUGAAUUCGUGAAAAGUCCAAGGUCAAUAUUUAGCAGUGUUGCACAAAAUAUCUCCUUGGGGGUAUGUUCUGUGCAGUGUAGCUGCAAAAUUGUCAAAUUUCGAGAUAACUGGAAGAGCCGGUUGUGCCUUUCGUCUAUAAUAGUUUAAUAGAAGUUAAUUUCUUAAAAAAGAUUUUCAAGUGAAAGUUCAAAAUUAUGAAAAUCUUAAACGACCUUAUUUUAGCAUAUUUAUGUUUAUGGUGGUAGCAUUCAAGACGUUUUCAGUCAGGAACGAAAAGUUACGUUAUAUAGCAAAAUACACUUGUAUGUAUGUAAACUUACAAAUUUGGAGGAUAUUCUUGCUCACACAAGUUGAAUCGAAGCCGUGACCACGGUAUUCGUGAUGUUGCCCUAUUUGUUUUGGAAAGAAAACAAAGCAAUAUUGAAGUAUUUUACUAUAGCGUUUGUUGGGUCCAGCACUGCUUGGGUGUAUUAUCAAGUGAACAAAACUAGGGACAUUUUGGAAAAUGCACUGGACGACUCCGUGUUGCAGUUUAUGGAUCAUUACGUAGCCAAAGAGGAGACACUGGAGGAGGAAAUUAUCGAGUUUGAACCAUAUUUGGAAUAUAGAAAGACUGGACUCAUACAGUGGGCGUUAAAUAAUUUAAAAUUUGGCUAUGCCAGAAGAUUGUUGGCUCUGUCCAAAGACAGUAAUAAAUAUUUCAGAACAAAGGCAGUAAACAAUUUAGCAAACAUUAAUUAUCUGGAUAGCUGGCAUUUUGCCUUGAUAGCUAACAUGAUUGAUCCUCGGACCGCAGUGGCACUGGCGCGAACUCCUAAUGCAGACCGCCGUUUUUUUCUGGAACCCCCUUUCAGAUACCACAACUACAAAAAAGACGAACUAAUUAACGCAAUGCGAGAGUUUUUAAUUGAGGUGUUUGAAAAGUCACAACAUCCCUGUAUGGGCUAUUUUCUCUCCAAAGCGUUUGUAUAUGAUCACGAUAGUGGUCACAUAGUGGACCAUGACUCAUCCUCGUUGGAGUUAAGUAAAUUUAUUCAAACAGAGAAAGAGAUUCUACCAAUGUGCCUGGAAUCACUAUUGCAUCACUGCAAUGUAGAGCGAUAUUCAACGGACAUUGCCGAUUUGAAUGGGUUGCCCUUACUUAUGGAAAUAUACAAAAGGUAUUCAGGGGAUAUAAAUGUAACAAUAAAAUUGUGCCAAAUUCUGUCGUACAUGAGCUACAAUCGACACUUGUUGGAACCCUUUUGCAAAUCUGGAUGGAUUGGAGUGCUUUCCAACUGGGCCCACCACAAGGACAUUAGAGUAUCUAUCCCAGCGGCCAGAGCUUUGGCCAACUUGGAUGAUGACAAUGAUGCGCGAUAUCCUAGUCAAUUGUACGUGUUGCACCCACUGAACCGGACCAAAUUCGACCAAGCGGUCGAUGUAAUUUUUGUUCACGGAUUAUUAGGUGGUGUCUUUUUCACAUGGCGCCAAAGACAAACUAAUCCAGUUGCUGCAGGAUUCAUUGGCAGUGAAACCGCCGAUUCUGAAGCUCGCAGAACUACCAAACAGUAUUUCCAAGACAUCACCGACAAAAUUCUGACAAACGAAUAUGAAAUCGUGUGGAACGACAUUCCACUGAACUCCAGUGAUAACUGUUCAGGUCCUUUUACUUGCCCAGGAGAAAAGUUCGAUUUUGAUAACGCGCCCGUAGAAGACGGAUCUUACACGUAUUGCUGGCCCAAAGACUGGCUGGCACAAGAUUGCAAGAAUAUAAGAGUAAUAGGAAUUAACUACAAUACAAGUUUGUCUAUGUGGGCACCUUUAUGCCCCUCACGAAAGGAAAAGUUGACUUUGAAUGAAAGAAGUGACCUAAUGGUUGAAAAGCUGGUGCAAAGCGAAGUGGGCAAGAGACCGAUAGUUUGGAUAACGCACUCCAUGGGUGGACUCAUUGUAAAGAAUAUUUUGUGCAAAGCAUACAGCAGCAAUGAUCCCAAGCUAAAAAGUAUCUGUUUGAAUACCAAGGGAGUUGUAUUUUACAGUACCCCACAUAGUGGCUCUAAAGUGGCCAAUUUGAGCAACGCUGUUUCACUGGUCUUAUGGCCAUCUGUAGAAGUGCAAGAACUGAAAGAAAAUUCGCCGCAACUAAAAGUUAUCCACGAUGAAUUUUUGAACAUUGUGCGAGUCGUCCCAAUGAAAGUGGUUACGUUCGUUGAAACAAAAUCAACAGUGGUAACUGCCCUAAAAUUCAACUUUUUGCUUGUUGAGCCCAAAUCUGGAAAUCCAGGAGUGGGAGAGUGGCGUCGUGUCGUGCACAGAUUACAGAGUAACCCUUGUAUAAGCCUUGUUCUAUGGAGUAACCUCUGUGAUCUGUGGUGUCGUGUUCUUGAGAAUGUUUGCCAAACGAGUGGUGGCACGCGCAUUUACAGGAAACAGUUUUCCAAAAAAUUUUGUAGUCGAAAGUGAUACAUGGUCUUUUAAAGGUGUUAGACGAUUUCUGAAACAGUGUCGAUCCAUGCCUUACUCUAUUGUAGAACGAGGAUCCCAAUACGGGACCGAUUAUCGGAUUUAUAUCAAUGACGAAAAUGGUCCUGUUUCACCCUUGCACGACAUUCCUUUGAUGGUAGAUGCAGAUAAGAAGAUCUUCAAUAUGGUGGUUGAAGUGCCUAGGUGGACUAACGCUAAAAUGGAGAUUACUAUGAAAGAAGUUCUGAACCCUAUCAAGCAAGACGUGAAAAAAGGAAAACCAAGAUUCGUGGCCAAUUGCUUUCCCCAUCAUGGCUAUAUUUGGAACUAUGGAGCCCUGCCUCAAACCUGGGAGAACCCAGAACAUCUAGAUGACGGUACUGGAUGCAAGGGCGACAAUGACCCUAUUGACGUUCUUGAAAUCGGAUAUCGGGUCGCCAAACGCGGAGAGGUUCUUCAAGUGAAGGUUCUCGGCACUAUUGCUUUGAUUGAUGAAGGAGAAACCGAUUGGAAAUUGAUUGCUAUCGAUAUUAACGACCCAUCCGCAGACCAAAUCAACGAUGUCAGUGACGUGGAAAAGCAUUUUCCAGGACUUCUAAAAGCAUCCGUUGAAUGGUUUAAAAUCUACAAGAUACCCGAUGGAAAACCCGAAAACCAUUUUGCGUUUAAUGGUGAAGCAAAAUCGGCUGCCUUUGCCCACAAA
rnacentral:misc_RNA from 1 species